GAUGAACGCUAGCUACAGGCUUAACACAUGCAAGUCGCAGGACUGGCGCACGGGUGAGUAACGCGUAUCCAACCUUCCCAUAACUACGAGAUAACCCGUUGAAAGACGGCCUAGUACCGUAUGGUUAUGGAUGGGGAUGCGUCUAAUUAGCUUGUUGUCGGGGUAACGGCCCACCCAGGCUACGAUCAGUAGGGGUUCUUAGAGGAAGGUCCCCCACAUGGGAACUGAGACAAGAUCCAAACUACUACGGGAGGGAGCAGUGAGAAAGAUUGGUAAAUGGGCGAUAGCCUGAACCAGCCAAGUAGCGUGCAAGAUGACGGCCUAUGGGUUAUAAACUGCUUGUAUGGGGGGAUAGGUACCAAAUGAAUAAGGACCGGCAAAUUCCGUGACAGCCGCCGCGGUAAUAC
rnacentral:rRNA from 1 species